GACUGUUCUACUAGGGUGAUAGCAUCAGUGGUUGGGGCUGGCAGCAUCUCUGCAGUGUUUAUUUUCCUGGGAUAGGUGCAGCCAGCGUGUCUGCACGUGCUUCAGGCAGACCUCCCAGUGCAAUAGAAACAAAUCCUGAGCUCUCUGGUGGGAGAAGGGGAGAAGAUACCACGUUUCUAAACUUGGUGUGAAAUGUGGCAAAUAGGGUUUAAGAGCAACCGUUUCCUUCCAUUGGUAUUUGCACAACUUUAUUAUAGAUAUCUACUUGGAUUGUUUGUGUAUUUAUAGGUGAAAUUUAAGAUGCUGUGGGGAACACUCUAAGCAAAUUGUGUUCAAUAAUUCAUCUGGGCAGUGUCCUGUGCUCAAAUUUGCCCCAUAGCCAAACUUCCUUUAUUCUUUAUGAGCCAUUUUCCAGGGAAAUACCAACAGAUCAUGCAAAGCUUUUCUGGCAAAGCCUUUCAUGUAGCAGUUCUCUAGCAGAAAGUUAUUCAAAGGACUAAGGAAUCAUGAACUCAUGACCUAUUCUAGUUGCAUAUUUUCAAGUAGAGCCUGAUAAGAGAGGGUUUAAAAUUUGCUAAUUAACAGUAAUUGUAACAGCUGUCACAUGCUGCUACUGUUUUAAUUGACAUUAAUCACAGCUGCAUCUGUAUUAUGCUGCCACUGGGAUUCUGGUGUAUUUAAUCUCAGAAUGUGGCACCUUCUGAGAGAUUAUGAGAUCAUAAAAGCAUGAGGGCAACAUAUUUGUCAGGGUUGAAGGUCACUAAUCUGUGCUGAAAGCAGCCAAGAGGAGCAAGCCAUGCAGAGGGAGAACUGGAACCAGCAGUGGCACUUUGCAAAAGUGGGGAAGCGAAAAGAAUAGACAGUGCUAAUCAGCAAACUGAAAUAGGGAAAUGCAGAGGACCUUUAGAAAGGAGCUGGGGAAAAAACUGUCAGGUCUCCUCAGGGAGAACAUGUGAUAUUAUGGUGGGGGUUAUUAAAGGCUGUUUGUUCAGAUCAA